CACUCGUUGUUGGCAAUACACAGUCAGUGACUAAGGGAAACCGAUAAGUGAUCCRCCUGGGGAGUACGAUCGCAAGGUUNAAACUCAAAGGAAUUGACGGGGGCCCGCACAAGCGGUGGAGCAUGUGGUUUAAUUCGAUGAUACGCGAGGAACCUUACCUGGGCUCAAAUGUAAGUUGACAACCCCCGAAAGGGGGCUUUCUUCGGACAAUUUACAAGGUGCUGCAUGGUUGUCGUCAGCUCGUGCCGUGAGGUGUCGGGUUAAGUCCCAUAACGAGCGCAACCCCUACUCUUAGUUGCCAGCAUGUAAUGAUGGGGACUCUAAGAGAACUGCCUACGCAAGUAGAGAGGAAGGUGGGGAUGACGUCAAAUCAGCACGGCCCUUACGUCCAGGGCUACACACGUGCUACAAUGGCCGGUACAGAGGGCAGCCACCACGCGAGUGGGAGCAAAUCUCCAAAGCCGGUCUCAGUUCGGAUCGAAGUCUGCAACCCGACUUCGUGAAGCUGGAAUCGCUAGUAAUCGCGCAUCAGCCAUGGCGCGGUGAAUACGUUCCCGGGCCUUGUACACACCGCCCGUCAAGCCAUGGAAGCUGGGAGUACCUGAAGUCGGUAACCGCAAGGAGCUGCCUAGGGUAAAACUAGUAACUGGGGCUAAGUCGUAACAAGGUA
rnacentral:rRNA from 1 species